rnacentral:rRNA from 1 species
GUGCCAGCAGCCGCGGUAACACGUAGGGGGCGAGCGUUGUCCGGAUUCAUUGGGCGUAAAGCGCUUUAAGGCGGUUCGAUAAGUCGGGUGUGAAAACUCCAGGCUCAACCUGGAGACGCCACUCGAUACUGUCGUGACUAGAGUCCGGUAGGGGACCACGGAAUACCUGGUGUAGCGGUGAAAUGCGCAGAUAUCAGGUGGAACACCGGUGGCGAAGGCGGUGGUCUGGGCCGGAACUGACGCUGUAGAGCGAAAGCGUGGGGAGCGAACAGGAUUAGAUACCCUAGUAGUCC